rnacentral:sRNA from 1 species
CUUUUUCCCCACCGCAGCUCUGGUGGUGUCUUACUGGCUGCAAGCCUCUGCCUACUUUCCUGCGCGCCGUUCCCUGCCAGUUCCUGUUGCCGGGUUUAUCUUCUCACGGCCUCGAGAUGGUGGUGAACGUGGCACGGAGGAGCCGGGCCUUCCCACCCUGUGGGCCCGAGCUCCGGAAGGCCCCCUCGGCAGUGAGAGGGGCGGGAGCCCGCGGGGGCCGCGCCCUUCUCUCGCUUCGGCCUGCGCAACGCUGCGCUCUGGGCUGACAGGCGGAUAAAACGGUCCCAUCAAGAUUGAGAAAAAGCACACCAAAUGUUGGUACAGCGUGGGCAGUGGGGCCUACAGGAUGACUUAGUCUACAGAGAUCCCGGCGUACUUAAGCAGGUAGUAAUGAUGGACAGAUGAAGACUCUUAAGAUGACAGAAGGUGAAUUUUUCUGGUGAUCGAGGACUCCUGGGGUCAUGAGAGUGAUGAAAUGCAGGGGACCUGGUGGCCCCCAAGUUUCCUGGCAGUGUGUGAUACUGAGGUGAGCUUGUUUCUGGAGCUGUGCUUUAAGGUAAAAUUGAUCAGCUUAAUCCUCCUGAUCCCUUUCCCAUCGGACCUGAACACUGGUCUUGGUGGUCGUAAAAGGAGGAAAAGUAAUAGUGAAGCUGGCCUAAAUGUUGUCAUCUGGUAUAUGGCAUGUGGGCUAGUUUCAGACAGGUUCUGAGAUGGUUGGAUCUCUGAAAUCGUAAAAUGAAGUAUAAUCUUAGGCUAAGGGAAGGAUGUGUGUGAAGCUCUGGAGGUUGCUAUAGUAAUAGCUGACCUAUUACUGCAUUUGGGAGGGAUCUGUCAUAGCUUCCUUGCCUCUUAAUUAAGGGUAGUGUUUUUUUCUUUUAGAUUCAUGUGUUACAUGUAAAGCUGUCCUCAGUUGUGACUAUGGACCUAUGGAGUUGGGACAAUCUCUAUGGGAAGCAGAAGGCAAGACCCCGGUCAUUUUAGGUAGAAACAACAGCAUGCUAAUGCAAAAAAUUAUGCAAUGUGCUACUGAACUUCAGAGGUGAUCAAUAAAAGAAUAAAGACUAGUAAAAGUA